UAAUGUAACUGCAAUUGGUAUACCUCAGA
rnacentral:piRNA from 1 species